UAACACAUGCAAGUCGAACGGUAACAGGAAGCAGCUUGCUGCUUCGCUGACGAGUGGCGGACGGGUGAGUAAUGUCUGGGAAACUGCCUGAUGGAGGGGGAUAACUACUGGAAACGGUAGCUAAUACCGCAUAACGUCGCAAGACCAAAGAGGGGGACCUUCGGGCCUCUUGCCAUCGGAUGUGCCCAGAUGGGAUUAGCUAGUAGGUGGGGUAACGGCUCACCUAGGCGACGAUCCCUAGCUGGUCUGAGAGGAUGACCAGCCACACUGGAACUGAGACACGGUCCAGACUCCUACGGGAGGCAGCAGUGGGGAAUAUUGCACAAUGAGCGCAAGCCUGAUGCAGCCAUGCCGCGUGUAUGAAGAAGGCCUUCGGGUUGUAAAGUACUUUCAGCGGGGAGGAAGGCGAUAAGGUUAAUAACCUCAGCAAUUGACGUUACCCGCAGAAGAAGCACCGGCUAACUCCGUGCCAGCAGCCGCGGUAAUACGGAGGGUGCAAGCGUUAAUCGGAAUUACUGGGCGUAAA
rnacentral:rRNA from 1 species